rnacentral:rRNA from 1 species
AUUGAACGCUGGCGGCAUGCCUUACACAUGCAAGUCGAACGGCAACACGGACUUCGGUCUGGUGGCGAGUGGCGAACGGGUGAGUAAUAUAUCGGAACAUACCCUAGAGUGGGGGAUAACGUAGCGAAAGUUACGCUAAUACCGCAUACGAACUAAGGUUGAAAGUGGGGGAUCGCAAGACCUCAUGCUCAUGGAGUGGCCGAUAUCUGAUUAGCUAGUUGGUGAGGUAAAGGCUCACCAAGGCGACGAUCAGUAGCUGGUCUGAGAGGACGACCAGCCACACUGGAACUGAGACACGGUCCAGACUCCUACGGGAGGCAGCAGUGGGGAAUUUUGGACAAUGGGGGCAACCCUGAUCCAGCAAUGCCGCGUGAGUGAAGAAGGCC